rnacentral:rRNA from 1 species
AGCGAUCGGUACCCGUUGAGGUGGUGCUUGCUCCUGGAUUCUGCUGGCGGACGGGUGAGUAAUGCCUAGGAAUCUGCCUGGUAGUGGGGGAUAACGUUCCGAAAGGAACGCUAAUACCGCGUACGUCCUACGGGAGAAAGCAGGGGACCUUCGGGCCUUGCGCUAUCAGAUGAGCCUAGGUCGGAUUAGCUAGUUGGUGAGGUAAUGGCUCACCAAGGCGACGAUCCGUAACUGGUCUGAGAGGAUGAUCAGUCACACUGGAACUGAGACACGGUCCAGACUCCUACGGGAGGCAGCAGUGGGGAAUAUUGGACAAUGGGCGAAAGCCUGAUCCAGCCAUGCCGCGUGUGUGAAGAGGGUCUUCGGAUUGUAAAGCACUUUAAGUUGGGAGGAAGGGCUGUAGGCUAAUAUCCUGCAGUUUUGACGUUACCAACAGAAUAAGCACCGGCUAACUUCGUGCCAGCAGCCGCGGUAAUACGAAGGGUGCAAGCGUUAAUCGGAAUUACUGGGCGUAAAGCGCGCGUAGGUGGUUCGUAAAGUUGGAUGUGAAAACCCCGGGCUCAACCUGGGAACUGCAUCCAAACUGGCGAGGCUAGAGUACGGUAGAGGGGUAGUGGAAAUU